rnacentral:rRNA from 1 species
UGCCAGCCGCCGCGGUAAUACGGAGGGUGCAAGCGUUAUCCGGAAUCACUGGGUUUAAAGGGUGCGUAGGCGGCUUAAUAAGUCAGAGGUGAAAGGUUGUCGCUUAACGAUAAGAUUGCCUUUGAAACUGUUAGGCUUGAAUCAGGUUGAGGUAGGCGGAAUGUGACAUGUAGCGGUGAAAUGCAUAGAUAUGUCAUGGAACACCAAUUGCGAAGGCAGCUUACUGGACCUAGAUUGACGCUGAGGCACGAAAGCGUGGGUAGCGAACAGGAUUAGAUA